rnacentral:lncRNA from 1 species
GUUAAUUAAAAAUGCUUUGAAAAGCGAAAAUGUGAUGAGAAAAUUUUUAAGUCAGAUUCUACUAAAGCUUAGUUUGGCAUUGAGACCUAUCAAAUGUUAUUAGAUAAAAUGGAGUUGAGGAAAAAAUAUAUAGGAAUAUGCUUUUGCGUUCUCCGGUGGGACCGCAGAGAAUAUAUCGUAAUCGACUCAUCGCGAUAUGCGGAACGUAAUAUUUUGUAUGAAAACAAACAGGAUAUUUUUCCAAUGUACUUUCUUUCACCGUAUGUAACGCAAUCUCUCCACAAUUCCAAACGAAGCCUAAUUCGGUUAAAUUUUGGCUCGUUUAUUUGUCGUCGCUAGUUUUAAAAUUUAAAAUUUAUU